AUCGAUCACCUCAGCUCAGACGCGACGACCCGCUGAAUUUAAGCAUAUUACUAAGCGGAGGAAAAGAAACUAACUAGGAUUCCCUCAGUAACGGCGAGUGAAGAGGGAAGAGCCCAGCGCCGAAUCCCCGGCGGCCGGGCGCGGGACGUGUGGCGUAGGAAGACCGCUUCCUCUCGGCGUCGACCGGGGGCCCGAGUCCUUCUGAAGGAGGCUCACCCGUGGACGGUGUGAGCCGGUGCGGCCCCCGCGGCCGGGGCGCGGUCUUUCCGGAGUCGGGUUGUUUGCGAAUGCAGCCCAAAGCGGGUGGUAAACUCCAUCUAAGGCUAAAUACCGGCACGAGACCGAUAGCGACAAGUACCGUAAGGGAAAG
rnacentral:rRNA from 1 species